CCGCUAUUUUUGUUUCUUCCCCAGCGCAAUCCUCAUCCAUUCCCCCUCAUCUCUCUGGUAAACAAGCCCACAUCCUUCAUUUUUUCCAAUUACAACGAUCUGCUGCUCCGGCGAGCGGUGCCCAGAGUUUCUGUUGGGAUGGGGAGUGGCCGUUGCGUGCUAGGAACAGAGCCACUCGCUGUUGCGAGCGGUGCCGGAGCUGAGCAGGCUGCAGCCAGCGCUCGUCGCCAAGGGCGCCCGCUACUGCAACCAGCGCUCGUCCCCAUGGCCGCCCGAAGCUGGGCUCGCUGCUCUCCAUGGCCGCCGCAACUCUGCAGAAUCAGAGAAGUUGCAACCACCGGGGCGCUGUGUCCGGCGAACCGUGGCCACCGGAGCAUGCACUGGAAUUGCGAGCGGUGGCACGGGAGCUACAAGGCUGUAACCAUGGGCGCACGUUGCUGCAUCCACGGAGGUGAGAAAUGCAUGAAGGCGACAUAGGUGAGGGCGGUGACCAAUGCCGAGGGCGGCGACCGGCGGUAAGGGUGACCGGCGGUGAGGAGUCGAGGCGGUCGGCGCAUGCGGGGGCGUCAGCGCGUGCGAGGCAGGCCUCUCCCUUUCCCGUGCCAGAGGUUAAAGAUGGGAGGUUGGGGACGAAGGGAUCUGACGCCUCGGGGGGCCAGAUCUGACGGCUGGGGUUGGACCGGCCCAACAGUUGGGCCGGCGCACCGGCGCAGAUCGUUGCCCUACUAUUAUUACUAGCUACACCUUUCGUUGGGGUGUUAUUAGUACCCAUCGUAUUUCGGGUAAAAUUUAAACCAUACAUGUGGCUCGCAAAUAUAAAUAAUAUGUCAUAAAAAUUAUAUUAUUGGAUUUGUAUUCAAAAGUAGUUACCAA